UUAGUCUCAUUUCCCUCAGAUUUGCAGAAGUCCGCUUUCGCAAAUUCAGAGGCUCGUCAAUGUGAUAAAUUCUGACAACUGUAUUGCAAGUUUCACGAAGAAUUGAACGUAGAAUUUUGCAAAUUCUAGCUGUCACAAUCUCGUGACGCGGAUCCUUGAUUCUGCCGUAUGAUACAGAUCUAUUGAGGCAUUUCUAAUUUUUCACGAAGGCUACGUUUCGUCCUUAAUUAACUAGGGUGUUGCCCGAACCGCAUUAAUAUCGCAAAUUAGACAAAUUUCUGGGCGGAUAAGGCCGGCGAGCCAAUCGCGUGAGCGGCAGCCCUUCCGUUCAUUCGCAUUUCGGGGAUGUGACGCGCGUCACGUGGCAGCCGAUUGUUAUGUACGUAACACGACAAUCGGGCUGCACGCAGUGACACAUAACAUGAGUGGGAGUGACGACAAUCGAUUGUGCGACUGACGCUACAUCGCCAUGGUGACACGCGAAAACAAAUACGCGCGAUCGCAUAGACACGCUGACCCACAGUAGGCCGCCACGAGUUCAGUGUGUCACGUGUACGACAGAAAAGGAGCGAGAGCUCCAGCCCUCGACCUGAACGAGGAAAGUGGCGAAGGCGCUCGCUAACGACGAAUUCGCAGGGACAAUGUAGUUGCAACCGUAUGGAGAGGUAGAACAACAUACGGAGCUCGCCAUUCAACGAGAUAAAAUAGGAAUUAUAUAAGACACAUUAUUAUUUAUCAACAAGUACGUUACACAUCAUAUUAUGAUCACGUAAUUAUGACAAAUUUAUUGAUCCACUCUAUAAUCAAAUCUGGCUGUAUAUAUGCUUAUUACGCUGUAAAUUCAUCACCGGAUUAAUAAAUAUUGAUUAUUAUUGC